AUGACUCUCGGCAACGGAUAUCUCGGCUCUCGCAUCGAUGAAGAACGUAGCGAAAUGCGAUACCUGGUGUGAAUUGCAGAAUCCCGCGAGCCAUCGAGUCUUUGAACGCAAGUUGCGCCCGAGGCCACUCGGCCGAGGGCACGCCUGCCUGGGCGUCACGC
rnacentral:rRNA from 1 species